AGAAUCUUCAGCAAUGGGCGCAAGCCUGACGGAGCGACGCCGCGUGUGCGAUGAAGGCCUUCGGGUUGUAAAGCACUGUCGAGGGGGAGGAAAGCCGCAAGGUCUGACCUAUCCCUGGAGGAAGCACGGGCUAAGUUCGUGCCAGCCGCCGCGGUAAGACGAACCGAGCGAACGUUGUUCGGAAUCACGGGGCUUAAAGGGCGCGUAGGCGGCCUGGUCAGUCAGGGGUGAAAUCUUUCGGCUCAACCGGAAAAGUGCCUUUGAUACUGCCAGGCUUGAGGGAGAUAGGGGCGUGUGGAAAUUCCAGUGGAGCGGUGAAAUGCGUUGAUAUUGGAAGGAACGCCGGUGGCGAAAGCGACACGCUGGGUCUCUUCUGACGCUGAGGCGCGAAAGCUAGGGGAGCGAAC
rnacentral:rRNA from 1 species